rnacentral:tRNA from 1 species
UGUAGGGUGGUGAAAUAGUAUCACACCGGGCUCAUUCCCCAGAAUUCUUGGUGCAAAUCCAGGCCCUGCUA